AUUAUCCAGGUUGGAUUCAGACAGAGUUUAUUUAUAGACUCUCAGGGAAUAUUGCUAAUAUUCAAAGCCUGAGGUUUACAGUUGAGGAUGACAAAUUGACAGCUUUAGAAAAGGUAA